CCAUAUGGUCGACCUGCAGGCGGCCGCGAAUUCACUAGUGAUUAGAGUUUGAUCAUGGCUCAGAACGAACGCUGGCGGCAUGCCUAACACAUGCAAGUCGAACGAAGGCUUCGGCCUUAGUGGCGCACGGGUGCGUAACGCGUGGGAAUCUGCCCCUUGGUUCGGAAUAACAGUUAGAAAUGACUGCUAAUACCGGAUGACGACGUAAGUCCAAAGAUUUAUCGCCUGAGGAUGAGCCCGCGUAGGAUUAGCUAGUUGGUGUGGUAAAGGCGCACCAAGGCGACGAUCCUUAGCUGGUCUGAGAGGAUGAUCAGCCACACUGGGACUGAGACACGGCCCAGACUCCUACGGGAGGCAGCAGUGGGGAAUAUUGGACAAUGGGCGAAAGCCUGAUCCAGCAAUGCCGCGUGAGUGAUGAGGCCUUAGGGUCGUAAAGCUCUUUUACCCGGGAUGAUAAUGACAGUACCGGGAGAAUAAGCUCCGGCUAACUCCGUGCCAGCAGCCGCGGUAAUACGAAUCGAAUUCCCGCGGCC
rnacentral:rRNA from 1 species